AUUUCCCGCGAAAAACCCUCUCCCUCAACUCUCUCGCAUCUCCCAAACACCAUCUCCCUCGCGCUAUCCAGGUCACAUCUCUCAACUCGUCUGAUCUUUCUCUAUCUCUCUGUCCUUCCUCUCUAUGCUAUCCUAUGUGGGCUUGUGUCUCUCUCCACUCAAGUCCUCAACCCAAUCUCAUAAUACGAAACGCUCUCCCUCGCUCCUUUGCUUUGUCCGCAUUAAAUAGUGUAUUUUUAGAGCAAAAUUCCCAAUUCUUUGGGGUUUUUACUGUGAACUUAUUACCGCAAACCUUCGCAACUCUAAUUCCUGGCUUUCUGAGGCCAAAGUAACCAGAUUUUUCAGCUUUCUGUUUCCAGCUUUUGGAGGUUUGCUAUUUGGUCUGUCUCCCAAAGUUCACCAAGCAUUUAUCAACAAUCACAAAUUACAUUAUUUUGAUGCAGAAAAGUUUGUUCAUUAACAGUACUGCAGAGAAGAUUCAGAAUUGAAAUAUGUCCAGUGGCCCUGGUCUUGAGUCACUUGUUGAUCAAACAAUUUCAGUUAUCACAAAUGAUGGACGGAAUAUUGUGGGAGUCUUGAAAGGCUUUGACCAAGCUACGAAUAUCAUUCUCGAUGAAUCUCAUGAACGUGUUUUCUCUACAAAGGAGGGUGUUCAGCAACUCGUGUUGGGAUUGUAUAUAAUCAGAGGUGACAACAUAAGCAUUGUUGGGGAACUAGAUGCAGAUCUUGAUUCUACUGUUGACUGGUCGAAUAUGAAAGCCUAUCCCCUCAAGCCUGUCAUCCACUGAUUCAGCAUGAAAGCCAUGGAGCGGUUGUGGACUCGAUAGGUUGUGACCUACCAAAUAAAUGUCAUAGCAUAUGAGUGAUUCAAUGAAGCAGAAUAGGACUAAACUCGCUUUAUGCUUGAAGGAGGUUGAGGUUCCACCGCAAAAUCAAUUGGCAAAUUGGCAAUGGGGAGUAGCCCAACACCUUAUGCCCUUGUAAGGUUUUCUAGCUUUCUAAUGUGGGAUAUUUUUACCUAUACAUUCUCACAAUGAUAAGCCAAUGCACUAAUUAAUGGACUUGUAUACUGCACUAAUUAAAGGACUUGUUUAGUGGAGGCGGAAUUUUCACUACAUAUUUAACCAUAUAUGAUGUAUGCAACUACGUAGUUGUUGAAAAUCAUAGGACUCUAUUGCUCCACCACUAAACACAGUUAAACAGUCCAUCGCUCCCUUCUUUUGGAUGCUA